rnacentral:misc_RNA from 1 species
GAUGAAGAACGUAGCGAAAUGCGAUAAGUAAUGUGAAUUGCAGAAUUCAGUGAAUCAUCGAAUCUUUGAACGCACAUUGUGCCCGGCAGUACUCUGCCGGGCAUGCCUGUUCGAGCGUCAUUUCAACCCUCAAGCCCUGCUUGGUGUUGGGGUCCCACGGCCGCCGUGGGCCCUGAAAGGAAGUGGCGGGCUCGCUACAACUCCGAGCGUAGUAAUUCUGUUUCUCGCUUAGGGCGUUGGGCGGCGCUCCAGCCGUUAAAGUACCCAUCUUUAACUCAAGGUUGACCUCGGAUCAGGUAGGAAUACCCGCUGAACUUAAGCAUAUCAAUAAGCGGAGGA